rnacentral:tRNA from 1 species
GCGCCUGUAGCUCAGUCGGAUAGAGCAUGGGAUUUCUAAUCCCAGGGUCGCAGGUUCGAUCCCUGCCAGGCGCACCA